GCCUGUCUUCCAAGGGAUUCAAUGUUUCGUUUUGAUGUUGUUUAAAAACAUUUAAAAAACAGAUCAAUAACAAAUCCUGUUUGUCAUCACAAUCUAAAGGAGAAAACCCAUUGCACCUCCUACUGGGGUACAUCUGAGGCCAACAUCUUCUCCUGAUUCUAUAUGUAUGUUUACAUCUGAGGCCAACAUCUUCUCCUGAUUCUAUAUGUAUGUUUACGUCUGAGGCCAACAUCUUCUCCUGAUUCUAUAUGUAUGUUUACGUCUGAGGCCAACAUCUUCUCCUGAUUCUAUAUGUAUGUUUACGUCUGAGGCCAACAUCUUCUCCUGAUUCUAUAUGUAUGUUUACAUCUGAGGCCAACAUCUUCUCCUGAUUCUAUAUGUAUGUUUACGUCUGAGGCCAACAUCUUCUCCUGAUUCUAUAUGUAUGUUUACAUCUGAGGCCA
ensembl:lncRNA